AUUAUUAUGGCACCCUCAACGGAGUUGGGGUGACAUAUUGUUAUUGUUCGUUUCUUUUUUUAUGGCACCCUCAACGGAGUUGGGGUGACAUCUUGUUAUUGUUCGUUUCUUUUUUUUCUUUUUAUUAUUAUUAUUAUUUUUAUUCUUCCACACAUUUUGUCCAUACUAUUUCUCAGAAUUGGGCAGACCAAUGUUGAUGGAACUAUACCAUAAUAUGAACCGCCAUGUUAAGUUGUGCAAGAGACAUUGGAAUGGUAAAAAAUGGCCGCCGUUGCCAUGGAAACUGAUAAAAUGUGAAAAAAAUUGCAAAUUUUAAAUCUUUCAUUAUAAGACCUACCUGGAUGAAACUUAGUGGUAAUGUUCCUUGGUAUGCCUAGAUGUUGUGACAAUAUAAGAAAAUUCCAAAAUGGCCGCCAUUGUCAUG
rnacentral:lncRNA from 1 species